UUUUUUCUUUUCUUUUUUUUUUUUUUGGCUGAGCCCACAGAAAUUCCCAGGCCAGGGACCAAACCCACACCAUAGCAGUGACCCCAGUCACAGCACUGACAACAACAGAUCCUUAACCACUAGGCCACUGAGGAACUCCUUCGUCAUGAUUUUGCCAACAAGUUACUGGACGACUCUGAGCAGGUCACUUCACUUCUAGAGUUCAAGAUAAAACUGUGGCUCGCUCUUCAAAAAGAACUGUGAACACCAACUGAAAGGGCAAGCAUGAAGGUGUUUUUGCAAAGUGAAAAAUGUGAGUGAGAUUGAUUAUUAAAGGAUGGUCAAUGCAUAUCUGAAAAAUGCAGGUAAGAUCACACAGAACAAAAGUAAUCUACUUCUUGGAGUUCCCGUCGUGGCGCAGUGGUUAACGAAUCCAACUAGGAACCAUGAGGUUGCAGGUUCGAUCCCUGGCCUUGCUCAGUGGGUUAACGAUCCGGCGUUGCUGUGAGCUGUGGUGUAGGUCACAGACGCAGCUCAGACCUGUUGUUGCUGUGGUGUAGGCCAGCAGCUGCAGAUCCAAUUCAAUCCCUAGCCUAGGAACUUCCUUACACCCCAGGUGCAGCCCCUAAAAAGACAAACAAACAAAACAGGAAUUCCCAUCAUGGCGCAGAGAAAACAUAUCUGGCUAGGAACCAUGAGGUUCGAUCACUGGCUUCGCUCAGUGGGUUCAGCAUCCAGUGUUGCCGUGGCUGUGGCGUAGGCCAGCAACUAUAGCUGAUUAGACCGCAGCCUGGGAAACUCCAUAUGCUGCAGGUGUGGCCCUAAAAAGCAAGUAAUAAUAAUAAUAACAAUGCGUUGUUUUUUUGGUUUUGCUUUUUUUUUUCUAACCAUUCUGACCAUUAAACUCGAGAAACACAUCUUGGAUCACCUUUGUAUCCUCUAGUGCCUAGACAGGGAGCCGAACACAGCAGGUAUUCAAUAAAGAUCUGCUAAAUUGGGUUAUGUCACACAUGUCCUCAGUAGAUACAGAGGCAAUGGGAGUAUUCAGGUGUAGCUCUAGGUUUUACCCUCAAAGUGGGUGGGAAGAGUCUUGCUUAUUGUUAACUUAGAAAAUUAGCACAUUUCUCCUCAAUUUGUUGAUUCUCUUGCUUAAUGAGUCCCCCCCUCCCCCGCAAAAAAACACCUAAAUCAAAAUUAUUGCAAGCUUUACAUGGGGGCAACAGUGAGAACUAAAGGAGAUCUUGGUUCUCCUGAGAACUAUAGUACAAAGUACACUUUUCUCCCAGGCCAAGGAAAGUCUGGUCAGUAAUUCUAUUAAUUCUAUUAAUGAAUCUAAUCAACUGACCAUCAGAAGGUGGAUUUGGGAGUGAGGGUAGGUAACAAGGAGCAUAAAAAUAAAAGAAACAGCAAAUUUCCUUGUGGGUUAAAGAUUGGGCAUUGCUGCACAGGUUGGAUUCCUGGCCCAGGAACUUCCACAUGCCGUGGAUGCAGCCAAAAAAAAAAAAGCAAAAAAGAAAAAGAGGAGUUCUCGUAGUGGCUCAGUGGUUAGCUAAUCUGACUAGGAACCAUGAGGUUGUGGGUUCGAUCCCUGGCCUUGCUCUGUGGGUUAAAAGAUCCGGCAUUGCCGUGAGCUGUGGUGUGGAUCACAGACGCGGCUCGGAUUCUGCGUUGCUGUGGCUGUGGCGUAGGCCAGUGGCUACAGCUCCGAUUCGACCCCUAGCCUGGGAGUGGCCCAAGAAAUGGCAAAAAGACAAAAAAAAAAAACUGGGGACAUGUGAAGUUGGGGCAAAUUAUGGGCAAGGAGAUACCAAAAAAACCCAAAAACAAACAAACAAACAAACAAACAAAAAAAGAAU
rnacentral:lncRNA from 1 species